rnacentral:rRNA from 1 species
GCCACGCUGAUGCGAUUUCGGUCAAAUCAUGUGGCAUUCGAGUGGCGGACGGGUGAGUAACGCGUGGGUAACCUGCCUUACACAGGGGGAUAACACCUGGAAACAGGUGCUAAUACCGCAUAAGCGCACAGGGCCGCAUGGCCCGGUGUGAAAAACUCCGGUGGUGUAAGAUGGACCCGCGUCUGAUUAGCUUGUUGGCGGGGUAGGGGCCCACCAAGGCGACGAUCAGUAGCCGGCCUGAGAGGGUGGACGGCCACAUUGGGACUGAGACACGGCCCAAACUCCUACGGGAGGCAGCAGUGGGGGAUAUUGGACAAUGGGGGAAACCCUGAUCCAGCGACGCCGCGUGAGUGAAGAAGUAUUUCGGUAUGUAAAGCUCUGUCAGCAGGGAAGAAAGAAAUGACGGUACCUGACCAAGAAGCCCCGGCUAACUACGUGCCAGCAGCCGCGGUAAUACGUAGGGGGCAAGCGUUAUCCGGAAUUACUGGGUGUAAAGGGAGCGUAGACGGUGAUGCAAGUCUGGAGUGAAAGGCGGGGGCCCAACCCCCGGACUGCUCUGGAAACUGUGUAACUUGAGUGCAGGAGAGGUAAGCGGAAUUCCUAGUGUAGCGGUGAAAUGCGUAGAUAUUAGGAGGAACACCAGUGGCGAAGGCGGCUUACUGGACUGUAACUGACGUUGAGGCUCGAAAGCGCGGGGAGCAAACAGGAUUAGAUACCCUGGUAGUCCACGCCGUAAACGAUGAUUACUAGGUGUCGGUGGGUAUGGACUCA